rnacentral:lncRNA from 1 species
CCGUGUGUGAGCUGUGCCGUGUGUGAGCUGUGCCGUGUGAGCUGUGCCGUGUGUGAGCUGUGCAGUGUGUGAGCUGUGUCGUGUGUGAGCUGUGCCGUGUGUGAGCUGUGCCGUGUGAGCUGUGCCGUGUGUGAGCUGUGCCGUGUGUGAGCUGUGUCGUGUGUGAGCUGUGCCGUGUGAGCUCUGCCGUGUGUGAGCUGUGCUGUGUGGUCUGUGCCGUGUGCGUUGUGCCGUGUGUGAGCUGUGCCGUGUGGUCUGUGCCGUGUGUGAGCUGUGCCGUGUGUGAGCUGUGCCGUGUGUGAGCUGUGCCGUGUGGUCUGUGCCGUGUGUGAGCUGUGCCGUGUGUGUGCUGUGCCGUGUGGUCUGUUCUGUGUGAUCUGUGCUCUCUGAGCUGUGCAGUGAGGCAGUCCCUGUCCCUCCACGCUCUUCGUUGUCUGGGAUUCUCAGCCCUGAUCCCAGAGUGUGUGGUGUGUCCUGCACCUGCGCCCACAGCCUGUCCUCCACUCCUUUCCCAGGAUGUGGAAAACACCCUGGGACGGCAGGCCCAGCUGAGAGCUGCCCGGCGUGGGGCUCCUCUCAGGUUGAGUGGCAGAGAACACAGCGUGUUCACAGGUGUGGCGAUCGUCCAGUGCUCCAGCCGAGGGACAAGGCAGGUGGCUAACGGCAUCCAGGGCCUCGGCGGGAUGCUGGUGGAGUCCGUGCACGGGGCUUCGCCACUCCGUCGGCUUCCCGCUGAACCACUUCUGCAGGCAGCUCAAUGCG